AUGAUUACUCCUGGUGACAAUGAGGAAUUAACUCGACCUUUUUCGUUAGAAGAAAUCAAGAAAGCUUUGUUUAGCAUGAAUUCUAACCGUGCCCCUGGUCCAGACGAUAUUCCUGUAGAAUUCUAUCAACACUGCUGGGAGGUAGUAGCCCAAGACCUUCUAUGCUUAUUUGAUUGGUUUCAUGAUGGCAAGCUAGAUGUACAACGACUUAACUAUGGCAUCAUAACCUUGUUGCCUAAGUCAACUGAUGCUAGUAGGAUCCAACAAUAUAGACCCAUUUGUCUAUUGCGCUGCCCCUACAAACUACUUACAAAAGCCAUGGAUAUUAGAGCUAGCAAAUAUGCACACAAGCUGUUUAGUAUUCACCAGAAUGCUUUUAUUAAGGGGAGACACAUAGUGGAUGGAAUCCUAUCUCUCCAUGAAAUUUUGCAUUAUACUUAUUUCAGAAGGCAGGUGGGAGUGGUUUUGAAACUUGACUUUGAAAAAGCAUAUGACAAAGUCAAUUGGGACUUUUUGCUUGACUGUCAUAGGAAACGUGGGUUUAAUUCUAAGUGGUGUGGGUGGGUCUCGCAAAUACUGAAGAAUGGCACAGUUAGUGUCAAGAUCAAUGAUGAAGUGGGACCUUACAUCCAAAGUGCUAAGGGGGUGAGGCAGGGGGAUCCUCACUCUCCUUUCCUGUUUAAUAUUGCGGCUGAUUGUCUGACCAAAAUGGUACUUACAGCACAAAAAAUGGCCUCAUUAAAGGUUUAG
rnacentral:rRNA from 1 species